rnacentral:rRNA from 1 species
UACGAAGGGGGCUAGCGUUGCUCGGAAUCACUGGGCGUAAAGCGCACGUAGGCGGCUUUUUAAGUCAGGGGUGAAAUCCUGGAGCUCAACUCCAGAACUGCCUUUGAUGCUGGGAAGCUUGAGUCCGGGAGAGGUGAGUGGAACUCCGAGUGUAGAGGUGAAAUUCGUAGAUAUUCGGAAGAACACCAGUGGCGAAGGCGGCUCACUGGCCCGGUACUGACGCUGAGGUGCGAAAGCGUGGGGAGCAAACAGG